rnacentral:tRNA from 1 species
AUUUAAAUAGUUUAAUUAAAAUUUUGAUUUGUGAUUUCAGAGAUGUAUUUUUACUUUAAAUU